UUGGGAGAGAAGAAUGAUCCUGGCUCAGGACGAACGCUGGCGGCGUGCCUAAUACAUGCAAGUCGAGCGCAGGAAGCAAGCUGAUCCCCUUCGGGGGUGACGCUUGUGGAAUGAGCGGCGGACGGGUGAGUAACACGUGGGCAACCUGCCUGUAAGACUGGGAUAACCCCGGGAAACCGGGGCUAAUACCGGAUAAUACUUUCUUUUGCAUAAAGGAAAGUUGAAAGGCGGCUUCGGCUGUCACUUACAGAUGGGCCCGCGGCGCAUUAGCUAGUUGGUGAGGUAACGGCUCACCAAGGCGACGAUGCGUAGCCGACCUGAGAGGGUGAUCGGCCACACUGGGACUGAGACACGGCCCAGACUCCUACGGGAGGCAGCAGUAGGGAAUCUUCCGCAAUGGACGAAAGUCUGACGGAGCAACGCCGCGUGAGUGAUGAAGGUUUUCGGAUCGUAAAACUCUGUUGUUAGGGAAGAACAAGAUUCGGAUAGUAACUGACUCCGUACCUUGACGGUACCUAACCAGAAAGCCAGGGCAAUCCU
rnacentral:rRNA from 1 species